UGGCGCCUACGGGGCGCAGCAGUGGGGGAUAUUGCACAAUGGGGGGAACCCUGAUGCAGCGACGCCGCGUGAAGGAAGAAGGCUUUCGGGUUGUAAACUUCUUUUGACAGGGAAGAGCAGAAGACGGUACCUGUCGAAUAAGCCACGGCUAACUACGUGCCAGCAGCCGCGGUAAUACGUAGGUGGCAAGCGUUGUCCGGAUUUACUGGGUGUAAAGGGCGUGUAGCCGGGCUGACAAGUCAGAUGUGAAAUCCGGGGGCUCAACCCCCGAACUGCAUUUGAAACUGUUGGUCUUGAGUAUCGGG
rnacentral:rRNA from 1 species